rnacentral:rRNA from 1 species
UACGUAGGGUGCGAGCGUUGUCCGGAAUUAUUGGGCGUAAAGGGCUCGUAGGCGGUCCAUCGCGUCGGGAGUGAAAAGCUGGGGCUUAACCCCAGUCCUGCUUUCGAUACGGGUGGACUAGAGGUAGGCAGGGGAGAAUGGAAUUCCUGGUGUAGCGGUGAAAUGCGCAGAUAUCAGGAGGAACACCGGUGGCGAAGGCGGAUCUCUGGGCCUGUUCUGACGCUGAGGCGCGAAAGCUAGGGGAGCGAACAGG